CUAUUAUUUUGAUUUAAAUAUAUAUUAAGUAAUAUAGACUCAUUACUUUUUAAUAUAAUGUAAUGGACUUCUAAUUUUUUAGUAGCAUAAGCCCAUUAUUAUUUUUUCUAACUUACUGCUAUUCAUGUUUCCAAACAGUACUAUUUUUUAAACUACUAUCAAUAUUGCCAAACAAUCUCAAUGUGUACUUCAACUUUAAUAAUAUAGAUAUUAUGUAACAGACGACCCGUUCACUCUGUAGAAAUUAGGACUGUUCAAUAUGGUAAAACAGAACCGUACCAAACCGAACCGAACCGAAAUAAACAAUAUGGUUUGGUUUUGGUAUAUACCAUAUAAACCGAAUGGAUAUAAUUUUAUAAAAACCGUAGGAUUUGGAUAUGGUUUGGUAUAUAACCGAUUAAAUCGAAUAAACUGAACAAAACCAAUUAAAAGUAGAAACAUGUAAAUAUGUAUCUAUUUUAUAACAAUACAUAAAAAUCUAUUUAUUACAUAAGUCAAAUUUGUGUUAAUAACUAUAACCAUAAUUUUAUAGUAAAAAAGAACCCUAAUUUGUAAAAUACUUGAACUAUAAUUAAAUAACAAUACAUCGCAAUUCAAACAUCUUAUUUUCUAAGUCUUCUUUUGAUCUUUUUGCUUUAUUUUAGUCUUCACUAAAUUAAUAUGGAGAUUAUAAAUUUCAUGGACAAUAAUUAAUGGAAAAUUUCCACAACUUUUUUCUUAUCUGUAAACAAACAGAGUUUCGUAUUCAAUUGAAAGCAAGACUUUAAUUAACACUAAUAUGGAAGAGUGGAAAAACUUUUCUUUCAUUUUUCAGUUUUGUUUCAUAUUUUUAUUUUCAAAAAUUUCAAGCUUUGAUUUUAGUUAUAGAUUUUAUUAUUUUAUUUGAUGGUAGAAGCAUUUUUACUUUUUUGUUCAUUUAUUUGAACAUGUAAUAUAUUUUUAAUAAAUGAUUGUGUUGACAAUAUGACUCUAAAAUUCAUAUAAUAUGAUCUCAAACUAAAUAAUUAUGUUUUUUGGUAUAAAACCGAAUAAACCGAAAACCAACAGUAUAUAAACCGAACCAAACCGAAGUAAAUAUGGAUUUAGAAUGGUAGUUAUAUUUUACUAACCGAAAUACCGAAAACCAAAAAAAACCGAACCUAAACCGAACCGAUAUCCGGAUUGAACACCCCUAGUAGAAAUAGUCAGAAGAUAUUUCAAAUUCAGAUUAGACAGUGUGGUAUGCUUUCGGACAAGUCCACUAUAUAUCACUAAUUACAUUUCUUCUCAGAACCGACCGGAUCUGAUAGGGUUUACCGGAAAAAAAAAUUAUUGAUCUUAAACUUCACUAGGACUCCAUGAGGAACAAAUUACAGGAUCUACUGUAUAAUGUGGCAGCUGUCUAAUUUUGAAGGAAGUGGUCCUACCUAAUUUCUGUAAUUACUAUACGAUCCCGCACCAAAGAAAUACACACAAAUCCGUUCAGUUCUCCAACGUAACCUUCUUCGGUGAUCGUGAGUAUAUACCUUGCGUCAUCAAGAAUUUAGUCUGGCAGAUACCACUUUAAAUCUAUCAAAGCAUAACGCCACCAAGUGGAACCAAAAUCAUUGUAUACCAAACCAAAGCGAACCGAAGAUUUUACCUGAACCUAUUCAAUACUGAUAUAGAGGGCCAAUAGUCCUUCUAGGAGGGGAGAGUAAAUAUUUUUCAUCUGUCUCUUCUCGUUCCAAGCUGUGUACAAAGCAAUCACAAAAGAAAGAUGUCAAGGUGACAUUCCGAAGUAAAAGCAUCUUAGUUCCUCAUCUUCCACAUCUCUGAUGCCCGUGCGUGCGGUGAUAGCUUCACAACUUCAUUCUUAGUCAGAUACAUCAUUUAAAAAAACUAACUCUUAACAAAAUUAGAGGCAUGAUAGGAGGAUUCAGAUGUAGAUGAAGCAUAUCUUUAUAACCAAUCAGCCACUGACACGUAGAGAUAACAUUGGGCGGGAUCAAAACCUGUUCCCAACAGAAGUAACGGCCGUGUAUUUUUUAUAAGAAAUUAUUAUUAUUUAUUUUAGUAAUUUAAAAUAAUAAAUGAAUUUAAAAUAAUACGUUAUAAUUUGUAAAUUUUAAUCAAACAUUAAGGACACAUCUUGCAGCAAUAAUGAAUAAUUGAAUUCUGUCUUCUCAACAAAAUGACAAGUUUAUAUUAUAGAGGAAAGCUUUUAUCAAAUAUAAUUGAUAUUAUACAUUUUAUACGAAAAGUAAGUCUAUAAAAUUGCUAGAAGGAAUAAGUGUAUUUCUUAUUUAAGAAGACAAAUUCAUAUAUUUUUUAUCAUUCACAUAUUUUUUUUCACUCUUAUAGCUAAUUAAAUACUAAAUAUAAGAAAUCAAAGAUAGUUUCAUGUGUUAUAUAGUAUGGUCACAAAAUUAUGGUUGUUCAUGUAUGGUAUCAUAUAAAUUUAUUUAUUAGUAUAAUAUAUAUAAGUCAAUUAUUUUAGUUUAUAUGUACAUACGUAAUAGAUUAUGUUUGGUGAAGAUAUUUAUCAUUUUAUAAAAAUUGAAUAUUAUGAAAUAUAAUAACCAAUAUAUUAGUUGCAUAUAUCGUUAUAUAUAAUAACCAAUAUAUAUAUUGUUUUAGUUAAGUCGAUAAAAUACUUCUAUUUAAAAUUACAAAACAUAUUUCAUUCAUUCACCAAUUUUAGGUGUGUUGACUAUUUCUGGAUGAUUAGUUAACAUAUCAGCAAAAUUGGUUUUUAGUUCUUUACUAUUCACUUGGUAAUUAAAGAUAUUGACCGUUGACAAAAUAAAAAUUAAAGAUAUUGACCAAGAAACGCAUAUCAAUAUUUGGCAAGAUUAUAAUUAAAGACAUGAACUGCAGUGGCAUUACAUAUGGUUGUUGACCUCAGUUGGCUUUAGGCCUCGGCACCGGAGCGGUUAUCCGGAAAAUUCGCAGUAUCCGUGAUCCGUUUUAUCCCAGACGAAUAUUUACGUUUGUUAUUUGAUUUGAUCCAUAAAAUUAUGAAUAUCUGAAUUUUCAGAUAUCUGAUUUUUUUAAAAAAUAUUUAUAGAUUAUUCGAUUCGAUCCGCUAAUUAUAUUAAAAUAAAAAAUAAAAAUUAUAUAUAACAUUAAAAUUAAAUAAAAACAUGUAAAAAUAUCAAUUUAAAAUAAAAAUAAUAAUAGCAUACUAAUACAUUAACAUUUUAAUGGAAAUUGUAAAGCAAAAUCCAAUAUUAACAAGCCUAAUAAGAAAAUUCAUAUGCUAAAAUUUGAGUUAACAUAAAAUUAAAUUGAAUAUGCAAUAACUCAAAACAAUUUUUUUAAACAACUUAAAAUAAAAAAUUAACCAAAUUAUAUCAUAAAAUAUGUAUAGAUAUAAUAGUUUGCAUAUACAAUUACAUAAUAUAUUUUUAAAUAUACGGAUCGGACAUCCGGCUUUCCAAAAAAACAAUAUUUGUGAUUUGCUUUGUUUUGUACAUAUAUCACAUUUUGCUAUUUGCUCUGAUUCGAACCUUGACGGAUAUCCAGAAUAUCCAAAUCGAAUCGAAACGAAUAACAAAUCGGAUCAAAUUUCACGGAUAAUUUGCCCAGCUCUAGUUGGCUUAUAUAUACUGAAAAAAUGAAAAGUAACGUAGAUAUAUUUGAGAGAAAUUAAGGAGAAUUUAUAAAUGGCAUUUAAUCUAGUGUUAUGUCUAUUUGUUUAUCUGCUGUUUACUCAAGGUGCACAAGGAAGUAUUGAUGAUUUUGAUUGUGUUGAGAUAUACAAACAACCGGCUUUCCAACAUCCAUUGUUGAAAAAUCACAAGAUUCAGGAAAUAUUCAGUUCAUAUGAGGAUCUUGAAAGAAGCGACAAAUUACAUUCUAAUAAUAUAUUUAUUAUAUGACUAACAUAUUUUUUUAAACAGUUUGCAGUAAUUGAGACCAUGAUAGAUGGAACUAUCUAUCGAGGAGCUGAAGCUGAAAUAAGUAUUCAUUCUCUAAAUUUGCAAGAUAACCAAUAUAGUAAAAGUCAAAUCUGGUUAGAGAAUGGACCUCCAGGUCAACUCAAUAGUAUACACGCUGGUUGGGCGGUGCAUCCAAGAUUGUACGGUGACAGUGUCACACGAUUUACAAUAUAUUGGACAGGAGAUGGCUAUGGUAAAACUGGGUGCUACAACACACAAUGUCCUGGUUUUGUUGUUUUAAGUCGAAAUCACAGAAUUGGAAAUCAGUUCUCGGGAUCAUCUGUCUAUGGAAAAACAACCCGUUAUUUUACACUGCAAAUAUUUCAGGAUAUCUCUAGUGGAAACUGGGUACUUAAACUAGAUAAUGAAGUAAUUGGUUACUGGCCCAAAGAGCUGUUUACAGAGUUAAACGAAGGAGCUUCUCUAGUGAGAUAUGGAGGAAAUACAUUUAUGUCCACAGAUGAAAUGAGUCCUCCAAUGGGGAAUGGGCACUUUCCAGUAGCAGAAUUUUUAGAGACAGCAUAUUUUAAAAAUGUCUUGAUUAUAGACUCCAACUACAUAAGAGUUUAUAUUCAAUAUAGAAAACUAAGAUGUUAUGCUGAUGUCUAUUAUUGCUUUGAGGUUACAUAUUGGGGUUAUGGCAGAACUACUGGAGAUUCUUUCUCGUUUGGAGGACCAGGUGGCAAAUGUGGUGUUUGAUGAGUUCUAUGUAUAUGUACCAACCAAACUUUGUAAACUUCUUAAAAGAUAAAUAAUAAAGUCAUUCAAAAUA